GUCGUGGUGGCCGAGUGGUUAAGGCGUUGGACUCGAAGUCCAAUGGGGUUUCCCCGCGCAGGUGCGAAUCCUGCCCGCGAGG
rnacentral:tRNA from 1 species